UACGUAGGGGCCGAGCGUUGUCCGGACUUAUUGGGCGUAAAGAGCUCGUAGGCGGUUCGGCAAGUCGACGGUGAAAUCUCCACGCUCAACGUGGAGGGGUCCGUCGAUACUGCUGUGACUCGAGUCCGGUAGGGGAGUGUGGAAUUCCCGGUGUAGCGGUGAAAUGCGCAGAGAUCGGGAGGAACACCCGUAGCGAAGGCGGCACUCUGGGCCGGUACUGACGCUGAGGAGCGAAAGCGUGGGGAGCAAACAGG
rnacentral:rRNA from 1 species